GACGAACGCUGGCGACGUGCUUAACACAUGCAAGUCGAACGGAAAGGCCCUGCUUGCCGGGUACUCGAGUGGCGAACGGGUGAGUAACACGUGGGUGAUUUGCCCUGCACUUCGGGAUAAGCCUGGGAAACUGGGUCUAAUACCGGAUAGGAGCCAUUUUUAGUGUGAUGGUUGGAAAGUUUUUUCGGUGUAGGAUGAGCUCGCGGCCUAUCAGCUUGUUGGUGGGGUAAUGGCCUACCAAGGCGGCGACGGGUAGCCGGCCUGAGAGGGUGGACGGCCACAUGGGACCUGGAUUACGGCCCGGCCUCCACCGGGGGGCGGCGGGGGGGAAAAUGCCACAAGGGGGGAAGGCCGGUGGCGGGGAGGCGGGGGGGGGAUGACGGCCUUCGGGUUGUAAACUCCUUUCGCUAGGGACGAAGCUUUUUGUGACGGUACCUAGAUAAGAAGCACCGGCUAACUACGUG
rnacentral:rRNA from 1 species